GGAACUUUUCGGACGUGAGCGGGCCCGGGG
rnacentral:sRNA from 1 species